rnacentral:rRNA from 1 species
UGGGGAAUAUUGGACAAUGGGCGAAAGCCUGAUCCAGCCAUGCCGCGUGAGUGAUGAAGGCCCUAGGGUUGUAAAGCUCUUUCAGUGGGGAAGAUAAUGACGGUACCCACAGAAGAAGCCCCGGCUAACUUCGUGCCAGCAGCCGCGGUAAUACGAAGGGGGCUAGCGUUGUUCGGAUUUACUGGGCGUAAAGCGCACGUAGGCGGAUCGUUAAGUCGGGGGUGAAAUCCUGGAGCGCAACUCCAGAACGGCCUUCGAUACUGGCGAUCUUGAGUCCGGAAGAGGUGAGUGGAACUCCUAGUGUAGAGGUGGAAUUCGUAGAUAUUAGGAAGAACACCAGUGGCGAAGGCGGCUCACUGGUCCGGUACUGACGCUGAGGUGCGAAAGCGUGGGGAGCAAACA